AAACCCUAAGUCGAAUCCUAAAAAAAUCUUAAAUUAAACCCUAUUCCAAACCCUAAAUCCUAAACCAAACCCUAAAUCAAAUCCUAACCAAAUCCUAAACCCUAAUCCAAAUCCUAAUCUAAACCCUAAUCCAACCCUAAACUCUAAUCCAAAUCAUAAAUCCUAAACCAAACCUUAAAUCAAACCCUAACCAAAUCCUAGUCCAAAUUCUAAUCCAAAUCCUAAAUCAAAUCCUAAUCCAAACCCUAAAUCAAACCGUAACCAAAUCCUAAAUCCUAAUCCAAAUUCUAAUCCAAACCCUAAACCGAACCCUAGCCAAACCCUAAUCCAAAUCCUAGUAAUUCCUAUGACAGAUUUAAACCUCAAUAUCUAAUGAAUAAACCGUUGAUCUCAAUUCAAAAUUUGCACACUUCUUAAAAAUCAAGUUCAAAACAAGCAAAUUUUUUUUGAAAAGGAUCGGAAUUACGAAAUUGACGAAAACCUCAAAAAUGUGUUUAGGUGUUAGCCGGGCUCCUUCUCCAAUCUUGUUGCCAAUCUUCCAGAGUCAAUUUCUCUUCUUUGCGCCGUUCGAUUGGUUUCAAAUUUCUCAAGGAUAUAGAAAAACAAGUCUUAUAUCUUCUCACACAAGUUUUACUCCAAUCCAACUAGUAGAUUGCAUGAAAUCUUAAAAUCCCUCACUGGACCUAAAAUUCUACUUUCUGAGACCUUACCUCACUUAAACCUCAAUAUCUCUUAGAUCAACCGUUACAACAAGCUCAAAUUCACAACAUGUAUUCAACAACAACUAUAACCAUGAAUCCAAAAAAAUUCACCUGUAGAUCUACAACAAAACUCUCGAAAUCACUCAAAACAUAAAUCCUAUUUUAUUUCAUAAAACCCAAGUCAUCCGAAAAAAAACUCAACUUUGCAAAGCUCUUAAAAAUUCAUAUCAACUCCAAAUCACCCGAAAUCAAUGCCCAUAGAAAUCCUAUUCAAUCUUCUCUCAAACCCCACUCUCCGAUCUGCCAAAAAGUCCCGGAGUCGUCAUCGAGACUCGGUUUUGUGCCUCAGGGUCUGAUUUCGACCCUGGUUCAUAAUCGGCCCUCUGCGGGCACCAAUAUCUAAUUUUUCUAAGUAAUUUUUUUUUAGAAUUUACUCUUAACUUUCUUCUAAAGAUUCCUAUAUCAUUUAUUUUCCCAAUAUACUUUUAUUGGCCUUACUUAUGGUACUACAAAGUAAGUAGAAGUCACCUUUCUAAAAGGCAGCAUUGGUACCUUUUAAUUUUUCUACCCCUUUGGCUAUUAACUAUAUUUCUAAGAUAAUUUGUUUUAAUACUUUGAACUAAGAUCUCUUAAAUUAUAAUAAUCUCCACACUCUUUCACCUAUUAAUUGUGUUACAUCACGACACCUCUACCUUUGAUAUCUGGACUCCUUGAUUAGUUGAAUCAAGCUAAGAUCUAUAUCAAAAUAGAUCUAUGAAGAGCAUACAAUUCAAUACACAUCAAAGAAGGAGAUGAAUAGAAGAUGAAUAGGAGAUGAAUAGGAAAUGAAUUCAAGCCAAUGAAGUUCCGAAUACCAAGUCUUCGGUUCCAUUUCAAGCUGUUUUAUUCUCUAUGCCAUUUCAGGGAAACAUCUUUUUCAUGGAAAGAUCCUCUUGGAGGCGAGAAUUCCAUAGAGGUGGAUUUGCUAUUCCAAUUCGGAGUCCAGGGCAGAAAAAUAGGAGACCUCACGGAGUUAAAGGAAAUGAGAGGAAAAAAAAGAAGGCAUUCGGAGAUCGAGAUUUUGGGAUUGGAGAGUUAGCUUCAAGCUCCUUCAAAAGGUGUAGAAUGAGAUUUCAUAGGAUUUGGGAGGACUUUCCAAUCGUUACUCAAAGUCAGUAUUUGUAUUGGUGAAUUCGAUUUUUGCAAUAAAGUAAAGGCUAGUACUCUUGAUUUUUUUACAAAAUUGGAGAGACAUCCGUAGUUGAAAUUUUAGAAGUAUCUAGAUGGCUGAGUAUACUAAGAACAUGCAAAAAUUUGUGUUAAUCUUAUGGUACAAAUAGAGGAUAUUUGAUCAUUAGUAUAAAGAGGUAUCAAAAGUUGGCAUAUUAGAGUUAUUUAGGAUUUUUGUAAUAUCUGAGAUCAACCAGCUGGAAUAAGGUGAAUUUUGACACGGUAAGUUGAGGACUUAAAAGCGGAGCUGCACACAAAAUUUGAAUGAGAAUUAAUGGUCAGAGAAAGAGAAAUUGCAUGUUAAAAUUCAUCAUCAACCUUCUAGGCGAUGGUCAAGGAACUUCAAUGUGGAUUUACGGUGUUCUUGCAAUCUGUAAGUUGGAUUGGAUUGAACUUCUUGAGUAUUUAGACGACUUGUAAAGAUACUAGUAGUAGAAGUCUCACAACAAUCGGACAGUCAGACUGAGAAUUAUAACUUGCGAAGGCUCGCUAUCUAGGGUUAGGAUUUAAAAAUAAAUAAAUAAAAUAAAAUAAUAAAAUAAUAAAAAUAAAAAAUAGAAAUAAAAAUAAAAAAUAACAAAAGAAUCUAUACUUAUAAUAUUUAAAAGCUAUCAAAAAUAGUGUUCUAAGCACUUUGUAUUGGGAUUAAGCUUUUACAUUGAAAUUCGAAAUAGUUUGUGUUUAGAAGGUUGAAAUCCACUAGACUACUUGGAUACUUAGAAAACAUCAUUUUAUCUUCCACAACCAGACGCUCGGUGUAUUUUCAAGCUAGAUAGCAUGUAAUACGACUUAAGUAGUGAACGUGACGUGAAAUGCUUGAGGUGGGAGGUAUUGAGAUUCAUUUAUUUUCAUUUUUAUUCUAUGGAGAACGAGAAUAAAAAUCUUGAAGGAGCUUCAAGUGGAGCUUCUUCUAAAGGACAAGGUAUAUACAUGGAUCCGUCCGUUGCUGGUAUGUUUCAACCUUAUCAUUAUCUAUGCGGCAACAACAAAGCAAUGAUCAUAAAGAAGCUUUAGCAACUAAAGCAUUACUAGCAUUGGUCAAUAAAAUUGAUCAAUUUGAUAGAAGAGAUAUUUCAAGGUAUUUAAGAUGUUAUGUUCAAGAAAUGGAAUUAAAUUGGAUUUCUGAGAAGAAGAUGGUUGAAUUAUUUGGACUUGCUACAAUACCAGAAAUAAGAGAGCAUAUUACAUCAAUUAUGGAGCAUUAUGGAAAUUCAUGGGAGAUUUUUUCACAUGCAUUAAAAGAUGAAUAUUUCUUGGAGGACAAUGAUCGUGUUACUAAGAAACUAUUUCUAGAAUGGAUUAAGCGGCCAAAAAAGAAUUUACAAGCAUUAGAGCUACUAAGGAAAUUUGAGAGGCAGUAUUUUCAAUUAUCGAAGGUAGAAAAAUUGACAUUAGAGCCGAAUAAGGUUGAAUUAUUUCUUCAAGCUGCUGAUGGAGAAUUACAAGAGAAAUUGGAAUUGUUUCUUGAAGACAAAGAAGAAGAUGAAGGAUUGACAACAAAGUGGAAAAAUGUUGAAAAUGUGGUGGAUUUGCUUGCAAAAAGAGAAAAGAGGAAGGAUAGGAGUAAUAUUUCAAAAGCAGUAUAAGCACCUAAAAUUCCAGUACAUACAACACGACCAACAAUGUCUACUGUUCAACCUUCAACAUCUUUAUUGAAGAAAGAAGAAAUGGAGAUUGAAGAAAUAAUAUAUGGAAUGCGAGAUCUUCAAAUCAAAUUGGCAAGACUUAAAGAAAAUACUUCUACAAAUAAUUUGAAGAAUGUUUCAAAACAAGGGUAUAUACAAAGAUGUAUCUUGUAAAAUAACGCUUCACAUACUAGAAAGAAUUUUAGUGAAUAUAAUAAUAUGGUACAACAAGGAAUUAUUUAUUGGAAAGAUGGAAAGAUUAUAUUAUAUGAUAUAGAGGAUCUCUUUUAAACUAAUUUUGGCAAAAGAGGUAUGAGAGCAUUGAAUCAAGAUUAUUUAAUAAAAUAUGGAAUAGCAACACGAGAGAGUGCAAGUUAUGGCACUAGAAUAGAUGAUGAAUUUGGUGGAAGUAUAGAAACUAGUGAAUUUUGGACAUUUUCUUUUUAUACAAUGCAAAAAAGAAAAAUGCCUCAAGAAGCGUUAUUGAGGAGUGCAGCUAUAAUAUGAGGUGCAACAGGUUGGAAAGAUUUUGUUGAGUUUCUUUUAGUUCAUGCAUAUAGAUUUUGUUGAGUUUCUUUCAAUUCAUGCUAAGAGCCAACAUGAAGCUUUGAUAGAAGAAAAGAGAUGAGGAAAUUUUGAUGAUACAAAAAAAAGAAAUUCUUCUAAAAAGCAAACUUGAGGAGACAAGGCUCGUGAGGCGGCUUCACAAGAAUUGCCUAUAAAGGAUACUUCGACAUCAUUGGAAGAAAAAAUAAAGGAGACAAAAGAUAAGGAUAAAUCAAUUACUUAUAAGCUACUUUCUGAUAUUGAAGUGGCAAAAAAUUUAAAAAAGGUGUUGGAAGAACAUAUAUUAAAUGCUAAGGUGGAAUUCACAUUGAAAGAAAUGUUGGGAAUUGCAAAGAAGGAGUUUUAUGAUAUUAUCAUUGACAGCAUUAAGCGAAAGAGGUAAAUAAUGGACGAAGCUGGAAUGAGUCAUGCUAUUGAUCCAAGAUUAUAUAAAGAUGAAAAAGAGGUUGAUAAUGGUUAUAAGCAAUCAACAAAUGAAAAGAAUGGAUAAAAUCAAUGACUACAUUUUGAAGAUUAUAGUGAUAAGGAAAUGGAAGCUUCAAGCCAUUAUAUUCGAAAAUAUUGGACAAAAAAAACUAUUGAAGUAUUGGUGAAAGUAGGAGAUAUAGAAGAACCAAUUGUUGCUUUAGUUGACCAUGGUUCUGAAAUAAAUCUUAUAUCUAAGGAUCUUUAUAAAAAGCAGAAAUGGCCAAUUGAUAUGGAAUAUGGAUGGGCAGUACAAGCAGCUAAUAACAUGCGAGACAAAUUAUAUAGAGCUUGUCAAGAUAUCAAAAUUCGGAUUGGGGAUGUUACGACAAAACAACAUUUCUUUGUUUAAGAUACAACGUCUUAUCCAUUGAUUUUAGGACAACCUUAUAUUACAGCAACACAGAUGGAAACAAAAAUACUUGACAAUGGUUCUACUUAUGCGAGAGUACGUAGUGAAGAUGGAAGGAAAGUUGUACAAUUUCUAACAGUACCUCAUAAUCAUGAAUGGAAUCGAGAUAGGUUGAGGGAAAAACCAUUGCCAAGGGUUGUUGAGGGAUUUAAAGAUUUUGGGAAAGUGCCACUGUAAAACAAGAUUAUAAAGGUAUAAAAGAGGAGGUGCUCUCGCAAGAUGAAGAUGUCUUUGAUGCGAGUUUUAUUGGUAUUUUUGAGAAUAAAAAUAUUAUGUAUAAAAAAGUUGAUGAUUUUAAAAGAAAAGAAAGAAAAAGAUUAUAUAGUAUUGAAAAGGAAAUUAUGCAAGUUAGGAACAUUAGAAGAUAAUGAAAAGAUUUUAGGUGUUUAUGAAGAAAAUGGAUUGGAGGAUUCUUUAGAAUUAAUUACAUCUAUUGGAUUAAGGGAUAAUGAUAAGAUUGUGGAAAUUCAUUCGAAGGAGGUUUAUACUAUACUUGAAUCUUUUCAAGCACCUGAAGUUAUUGUAGAGACAAAAUAUAAAAUAGUAGAUAAAAAGAUAUAACCUAUUGCCAGACCUUUACUAAAAGAUUCUAAGGAAAAGAUGGAAGAAGCAUCAAAAGAAAAGAGUUUAAGAGAUCCAAAGAAGAUUGGACAUUAGUUUAUAAAAGAAACUUUUGAAGAAUUGAAGAUUAGAUAUAAUGGUUCUUUAUUUCCAAUAAAAAUUAAAUAUUUUAAAAAAAUGCUUACAAAAUGAGAUAAAUCAUUUGCCUUUGGAUCUCGUGAAAUAGGAUGUAUAGAUCCUAAUAUUGUUGCUCCUAUGGUUAUCUUUACAGUACCUCAUGUGCCUUGGAACUUAAGGUCAAUUCCUGUGCCGAGGGCACAUUUACCUAAAUUGGUAGAAUUAUUGAAAGAAAAGAUGCAAAUGAAAAUUUUGGAGUCUUCUUUUGCUCCAUAUUCUAGUCAUUGAUUUACUAUGCCUAAGAAAAAUGGAUCAUUACGUUUUAUUCAAGAUAUGUAGCCAAUGAAUGUAGUAACUAUAAGAAAUGCAAGUAUAGGAGCUUUAGUUGACGAGUUUGCAGAAGCAUUUGCGAGAAGGGUAAUUUAUUCAAUGGAUGAUUUAUAUUUGGGUUAUGAUCAAUUUCAACUUGCACAUGGGAGUAGAUAUCUAACAACAAUGAGAAUGCUACUUAGAUUACUUAAAAUGUGUACUCUUCCACAAGGUGCUACUAACUCAGUUGUUUAUAUGAUGAAUGGGAUGAACAAGGUAUUAAGAGACUUCAUUCUUGAAAAAACUAUGCCUUUUUUAGAUGAUGUUCCUAUCAAAGGAUAUAAAGAAGGAGAAAAAGAUGAAACUUUAGAUAAGAAGGGAUGUUGCAAAUAUGUUGUUGAUCAUAUACAAGAUUGUGAAAAGAUUUUAACUCAACUUGAAGAGGUUCAUCUUACACUUUCAGGAGCAAAAUCUACAUUUGGAAUGCAAGAAGUUCUUAUUGUUGGGCAUUUGUGUAGAUUUUAUGGGAGAAAGCUAGAUCCAAUCAAAGUUGAUGCAAUUGGAAGGAUGAAGGAUUCAUAUGACUCUUUAACGGAAGUAUGCAGGUUUUUAGGAGCUUAUGUAUUUUAUCGUAUAUGGAUUCCUCAUUAUGCUCAUGUAGCAGAUCCAUUGUAUGAAUUAUUAUGUAAGAGUUAUCGAUUUAAAUGGAAAAGAAAGCACACUGAAGCAAUGCAGAAGCUAAAAGCAUUAUUGGUAACACCUCUAAUUUUAAGACAAAUUGAAUAUGACUGUAAUAGAUAAGUAAUUCUUACUAUGGAUACCAGUCCUAUUGCUAUUGGAUGGGCUAUGGAUUAAGAUGAUUUAUGUGGAAAUAGAUUUGCAGUUCAAUUUGGAGCUAAAGUUUUAAGUACUCGUCAACAUGCAUAUUUGCAAGUCAAAAGAAAACUUUGGAGAGUUGUUUUAGCUAUGAAAGUUGAAAGGGAUUAUUUGAUUGGUGUAGCAAUAGUAAUUAAAACCGAUUGCUUGCCAUUUCUUGGAAUGAUUAUUAAUUGUUCAAUGCCAAAUAUUCCAUUGUUAAGAUGGAUUGCUUAUAUUAAGUCAUUAAAUCCGAAAUUUAAGAAUAUUAUUGGAAAAGAUAAUUUAGUAGCAGACAUGCUAUCUAGAGCAAGAUAUGAAAGAGUAGACGAAAUGAUUGAAGACAUUGAUGAUGUUGGAUCAAAAUUCUAUUCAGUAUCAAAUCUUAACAAAGAAGACAAGCUAUUUCUUAAAGAAUUUUAUAAGAAGAAUUAUUGAAUAUUGAUCAUUACUUGAAUACCUUGACUAAGCAAGAAAAUUGGUCUACAAAAAAAUUUAAACAAAUAAGAAAAAAAAGCAUAUGGAUUUUUGCUUCAAAAUGGAUUCUUAUGGAAGAGACAAAAAAAAAGAAUUGGAAUGCCACAAAGAGUGAUAGGCAAUAAGGAAGAGAAACAAAAAUUAUUAAAGGGAUUUCAUGAUAGUUUAUGGGUAGGACAUAGAGGAAUUUGGGCUACUUUUGCUAAGCUUAAGGAACAAUAUUGGUGGAAAAAUAUAUAUUGAGAUGUGCUCUUAUUUGUAGAAUCAUAUAAAAUUUGUCAAACGUAUGCUAAUAUACGACAUCGAGAUGGUCUUCAUCGUACAUAUCCUCUAGCUAUUCAUUUUAAAUGGGUUGUUGAUUUGGUUAUUAUGCCAAUCGGGUUAUGGCAAAUGAGAUAUUUGGUCUUAGCUUGUGAAAAUUUAUCAAAUCAAGUAGAAGGAAGAGCAUUGAGAAUAAAAUCUAUGAAAGGAAUUUGUAAAUUUUUGCUUGAAGAUGUUAUUUGCUGUGACGGAUGUGUAGGAGAAAUCACUGCAGAUUGUGGAGAAUUAAAUGCAUAAGAAGCUCGUGAAUUCUUUGAAAGAUUUGGAAUUAAACUAUCAGUGACUACUGCUUAUAAUCCUGAAGGAAAUGCAAAAAGUGAACGUGGUUACUCGUCGAUUGUGAAAGUAUUAGUUAAAGCUUGUAAUAGGAAGGUUAGAAAAUGGCCACGACUUUUGUCAUUUGUAUUAUGGGCUGAUCAAAUAAUUCAUAGCUCAGUAACGGGAUAUAUGCCUAUUGAACUUAUGACAGGUCAAAAACCAAUUAUGCCAAUUGAAAAAAAAGUACCUACUUGGAGUGUGCUACCAUAGAAAGAUGAAUUGACAAGAGAAGAACUUCUAUCUAUUAGAAUUUAAUAAUUAGAACAAAGAUCAAAAGAUAUGCAAAUAGCAUUAGAAAGGUUAAAAAGAGUGAGAUUACAAAAUAAGGCACGAUUUGAUAAGCAGCAUCGAUUGAGGCCUAAAACAAUUGAAGAAGGUGAUUGGGUUUUGGUCUAUGAUAGUAGCUUGGACAUUCAACAUAGUACUGUAAGGAAGUUUUCUAAGCGAUGAUUUGGAUCGUAUGUGGUAACAACUGUUCCUGAUAAUGCAACUUACUCAUUGCGGGAGUUAGAUGGAAUAAGGUUAAAAAUACCAAUUAUAUGGAAGCAAGUAAAAAUAUUUAAACAAAGAUAUACAAAAAUAAAUAUAGAAGACCUUGGUGAAGAUAAAGAUAUUCCUCAACAAGAAGAUGAAAUUGACUUGGAUAACAAAAGUGAUGAAGAGGAUUUAGACAAAGACUUAGAGAACAUAUUAUAAAUCAAACAACAACUAGGUUAUUUGGUGCAUACGAGAGGAUGCAUAGGAUGUCCUGUUGCAACACGUCUAUAUGGUGAAAAUAUAAAUGGAAAAGAUUUAUUAAUAUUAAUCAACUUGGAUGUAAGAAACAGUGGCCAAUUCCAGUGCCAAUAUUCAGGGACUAGUUAAUAUCAUCCUAUUGCAAGCUGUACCACCGAACGUGACAACAGCGUAUGUUCUACCAGUAUCAUCGAACUAAUUACCGUCCGUACCAACGGGACGACCAAGAUCAUUUUCUAACCCUACAUGGAACAAGCCUAUUAGGUAUGUAUUAGUGGAGACACCCAAUAUGCCUCAUGGGGGUGCAAGAAGACCACUUCGUUGUUUCCACAGAGAUUGGUCAUUAUGCUAGUAAAUGUUCCAAUCUGAGAACCAAUGACAAUUACGUGCAAGUAUGUGGGAAUAACAAGCAGUCGGGGCAUACUUAUCAGUAAUGUAAUGCUCCGUUCAAUUUUAAUAAUCGAGAUCAACAGAUCCAAAGCGAAAGAAAAGUUGAGGGGAUAAAUCAAGGUCCUCAAGAUUCUCCGGUAAAUCGAGUAGAAUGAGUCCGAGCCGUUCUUAUAAGUGUCGUAAUAUGUGAAGUCUUUCUUGAAAAUACUUCGAGCACCUGGCUAUGGAAGGAAGAAUGGAAAUUGUAAUAACAAAAUCCUAAUUCUAAUAGAAUACUAACAAUGCUCUAAUUAGAGCAUAAUAAUGCUAAGCUAGCUUAAUCAAAUUCAAAAAAAAACCUCAAAGAAAUUUCAAACAAACAAUAAGAAAUCUUAAAGAAAAAUUAGAAAGAAUACAAAUAUCACUCAAAUACAUCUCAAUUAAAUCUUAAUUUAAUUCUAAGUAAAAUCCUAUUGAACUUCAUUCAAACUUUAGGACAAAACUAAUUGAAUCUUAAAUCCUAAUAAAAUCCUAAAUCCUAAAUCAAAUCCUAAACAAACCUUAAAUCAAACUCCAACCAAAUUUUAAACCAAAUCCUAAACCAAAUCCUAAAUCCUAAAUCAAAUCCUAACCAAAUCCUAAUCCAAAUCCUAAAUCCUAAACCAAACCCUAAUCCAAAUCCUAAACGCUAAAUAAAACCCUAACUAAAUCCUAAACCCUAAAUCAAAUCCUAAUCAAAUCCUAAAUCAAACCCUAAUCUAAAUCUUAAUCCAAAUCUUAAAUCCUAAACCAAACCCUAAUCAAAUCCUAAAUCAAACCCUAAUCCAAAUCUUAAAUCCUAAACCAAAUCCUAAC
rnacentral:lncRNA from 1 species